CGACCCUCUGGUUGUUCUUUUGCCCCUACUCAAAAACCCUAAACCCUUACAGACCCAUCUCGAUUCUCUUCUCUGCAACUAAUGAGUCUCUGCCCAGUGGUCUCUAGGGUUUUGCUUUGAGGUGCUUUGGCCUCUCUAUAUGCCAGAUCCAGGUACUUUCAAAGUCAUUCUUUUCUUGAACCAAUCUCUAUUUAAAUGGCUAAGCUUCAUUUCAAGAGUUUGCUUUGUUUGAUGCAAAAACGUUUCCUCACAACAUCGUCAACACUGUAUACAUCUUCGUUGUCUUCUUCAUCUUCAACAUUAUUAUCACCAUCGUACACAGCCCAAUUUCUUGUGAAAUCUUGUGGGCUUCCCUUGGACUCUGCCAUUUCCAUCUCUCAGAAGCUCAACCUCGAUGAAAACAAACGGCAAAAGCAUGAGUCUGUGCUCGAAUUCCUCAAAUCUCAUGGAUUCUCCGAUACCCAUGUUGCAAAACUUGUCUCAAAGUGUCCCCCGAUCCUCCAAGCCAGAGUAGAUAUGCUCAAGCUCAAAAUAGACUACCUCCAUGACAGUGGCUUUGUGGGUCCGGUCCUUCAUGAGCUAAUUGUGUCUAAUCCGGCCAUUUUGAGGCGAAGCUUGGAUAAACAGAUAAAACCGUCAUUUGAUUUUCUCAAGGAAUUCCUUGAAACCAAUGAGAAAAUUGCAGCAGCUAUUAAGCGCGAAUCAUGGUUGUUAACCUUCGAUCUGAAGAAAAUUUUGAAGCCAAACACUUUUCUUUUGAUAAAUGAAGGGGUCCCUCAUAGUAGAAUGUCAAAAUUGAUUACAUUACAGCCGAGAGUUAUAAUGCAGCAUGUUGAUAGGAUGGUGUAUGCCACAGAAAGGGCCAGAAGUUUGGGUAUCAAACCAACUGAUCCUAUAUAUGUAACUGCUAUUACAGUGAUUCUCUCAAUGACCGAAUCAACCUGGAAAAGGAAAGUGGAACUGUAUGAGAAAUUUGGUUUUACUGAAGUUGAGAUUCUCAAAGCUAUCAAGCGUCAACCACAUUUUAUGGCUUGUUCAGAGGAGAAAAUCAAGAGUUUAAUGAACUUUUAUACAAACACAAUGAAGUUGAAGCCAUCUGCAAUAGCUACUUAUCCUAGGCUUCUUUUGUAUUCAUUUGAUGCAAGGAUACGACCAAGGUUUAAUGUUUUGAACAUCUUGGCUUCAAAGAAGCUACUGAAGAAACACAAAAAGAUUGCAUGGUUGCUCACACAAAGCGAGGCUAGUUUCUUGACCAAUUAUGUGAUCAAGUACAUGGACCAAGUUCCAGAUUUAAUGGAGCUAUAUCGUGGGGUCAAGAAGAUUGAUCUCUGAUGACAUUGAACAUUGUGAAGGUUUACAAGAAGGACAAGAAAGAGCUGUCAUGCUAGGGAAUCAUCUUUGGUGGAGCUUAUUUUAGGGAAUCGAAGAAGAUGAUGCCAUUAUUUGUUGCCAUGGGCCUAGCCAUAUGUUUGGCUAGAGUCUUCUUCAGCUAAUGAUGCCCUGAUCCCAAAGUGGUUGGAGAAUUUUCUACAUAAGUGCUUCUAUCCAUAUGGAGAAUUUUCUGUUACCUAGUAGAACAAUUUUACUUUGAAGCACUGCAUAUAUGGAUUCAACAUCUCUGGUUUCCGUUCCUGGCUUUAAAUGUGUGAGAGCAAGGUCAAUUAAUUACUCCUCAUAAACAUUUAAAAUCUUUGACAGUUUCACCCUUCCAAUUCUCAUAAAAAAUGUCCAAUUAGGCUCAGGGUAUAUAUUCAAGUUUUCUUUUCUUCAGUGCUACUGCUAGCCGUGCUCCUUGUACAUUCUUUGUGUAUUAGGGUUUCCCUCUUCUUCUCUGUGGGUUUUGUAAAAAUCUAUCAUUUUCCUAUCAAAGAAGGAUCAUCUAAGAUAUAAAAUUCUUGUUUUCUUCUUUAAAGGUUAUUAUGCAUUUUGAAUAAAAGGAUUUGAAGCUUUUUCAUUGUGUAAAUUCUAAAGUUAUGAAAAAUUGAUAUCUAUAGAAAUUUAUGAUACGUUUCUUGAUUAGGCUACAUAUGGUUGGUUGGAUAGGAUAAGAUAAGAUAUGUAUAUCUUAAAUAUUUUUAAAGGAUAUUAUAUUUGAUGG